UUUAUUUAUUUUAACAGGGGAAAUCCCCAAACGAGAGCUUUCUCUGCAACUUUACUUUUUCUCUCUUACUUUCUCGUUCUCCAAACACCAAAACCCUAAAUCCCCAAAAUGACAACAAUCAGUCUCCGCAAAGGUAACACCAGGCUUCCACCGGAGGUCAAUCGAGUUCUCUACGUGAGAAAUCUAUCCGCUCAUCUCUGACCAAGCCGAGAAGAGUCGACGACAACAGACGACUCGCAGAAGACGACUCCAACUCCCCCACUCGCAGACGAUGAUGGCGCAGCUUCUCCCCUACUCACAGUCGACGACGAUAGCUCCUUCCUUGCAAACGACAAUGACGCUGCCUUCAAGUUCUAUCCGCUCAUCUAUAUAUGGGUUUGAUGUCUUUUGUUUUGUCUUUAAAUAAUUUAUCUAUUGCUUCAGCCUAUCUAUACAUUGAUUUGUUUGCUGUGUUGGCUUCUUGUUCGAGACACACAUUAAAAUAAUGUAAAUUCAGCAAAAAAAAAAAAGGUGUGAGAAGACAAGAAAUUUCCUGCAAAGGUGUAUUGUACUAUAGUUUGCACCUGCUGUUGCUGUUGCUGCUGACAAAGAGGAUGAGUUUGACUAGCUUGUUACCAUUGCAGAUGUUUGGUGGUAUUGGUCCCUCGAGUGAGUUGGUGGAUAAAUCGACCUUCGUUAGCUUAGCGCUUAAACCGAGCUUUUGUGGGAUUUUCCCAGUUAAGGAAUUAUUCCAUAUAAUCAAAGUGUCCAGCUAGCUUUGAAUCACAUCAAAUCAAAUUCUGAUCCUCAAAGUUUGAAUUUUGUUCAAGAAAGAAAGUUGGAGAAUGAGAUGUUGACUUUAUAAGUAGAUCAACGGUUUCAAGAGUCUGUUAGAUAUUAGGGGGUUGCAAAGAAAUUAGAGAGUUUGUGCUCCUGGCUGCUAUUUGUAGAGGAAGUGAUUGCUUUACAGUACCCAGACUCAGUUGGAUGUCAUUACUGAGAGUUAUUGAAAUAUUUCAAACCUAGCAAACCUUGGGUUCCAAUGCCCUCGGCAAAGAAGGUUGUGAGUAAACCUAUUCCAUCUGUACCUGAAGAAUUGGAAGAUGAAUCUAUUAACCAUUUCUUACAAGCUACGUUUAAACCAAGUUUAAAAUAAAAUGAAUAUGAUGAGAGAGAGAAAGAGAGAUGGGUUGGGGAGUGAGAGUCUGCAUAAGUUGAAUAUAAUGUUUUCUCAUUAUUCUAGAAGAGUGGACUAAAGGCUUCAGCAUUGAAGACACGGUUGGACAAGAUGUGGUGGGUGAGCUGACCAAAGCACUUGAAAGAAUUGGACUUGAUAUGCGGGUUACAGCUUUGGAGUAGGCAAAAAUGAGGAGAGGGUUUUAUAUGUUUGGGUAGGAAGAUCAUGACCGCAGCAAAUGUCAACUUAAGCUAGGUAGUGGAUAAAGGAUCAGAUGAUCUAGAAGAGCUUGACUGGAAUCAUGUUGGUUCCGAUGUGCUUAUUCAAAUGGGCCUCCCGAAGGGCAUAAAGAUUAAGAUUGUUAAAGAAGAUGAAGAACCAGCAGAAUUUCUCGCAAUGUUGAGUCUGUUGUAGCGCAUUCAGUAAUGCAGGAGCUUCAACCAAAGAGAUGCAGCUAUACUUCUAGAUUUGCUCAUGUGUGCACUUAAAAAUGUGACUCAAUAUUUAUGAAUAGAUGCAUGUACAAAUUUAAUAAUUUUAACCAUUUGUUGUUUUUUUUAAAAAAUAGUUUGUUGUACUUAAAGAUUGUACUAUAAUAUAUAUUUCAUUAUAUAAAGAAAAAAGAAAUUAUUACCAUUA